rnacentral:lncRNA from 1 species
GUGGAUACUGUGAUUAUUAGUUGUGGGUUAGAUACUAACCCGGUGGACCCUCUAUAGGUCCUGUCGACAUUCUUUUGCAGUCAGGAGACAGACGCGACAUCCGUACAGGUGGGUACUUCGAUCCGACGUCGGUACAGUAGUGCACGCUUGGUGACGGUUUCUUACCCUUACUCUUCUGUUGUUACUAUCGCAUAGUAUAUUGAGCCUUGCACCCUUGUUUAUUCGUUAUACUCUACUCGUUGUUUGCAUGCUUAGUAUCCUGAGUAGGAGUAGAGAAGUUCUAUCUACAUGCGUAUCUGUUGACCUAGUUGGUCUGUAGUUGCAUUCUGUAUCUGUUGACCUAGUUGGUCUGUUGUUGCAUUCUGUAUCUGUUGACCUAGUUGGUCUGUUGUUGCAUUCUGUAUCUGUUGACCUAGUUGGUCUGUUGUUGCAUUCAGUAUCUGUUGACCUAGUUGGUUGGUUGUGCAUUCCGUAUCUGUUGACCUGGUUGGUCAGUUCUCGUACUUCGUAUCAGUGACCUUGCUGGUCGGUUGGACUCUGUGGACCUUGGGUCCAGGUAACACAUUGACUCUCUCGUCAUGUGUUUCGAUCUGGUUGAUCGAGGUUCGGCGUUGUACGUCCUUGUUUCUGGCUUCGGCCUAGGCACCGGUUUCAGCCGGAUUUUGUAUUGAGCAUACCAUCAUGACUUAGUCACAGCACUUGGGGGUAUUCACGACACCGGAUCGGUUUGGCCACCGAUCGGAGGUGUACUUAUCCGGAUGGGUCGUCCUGUGGGGCGGGUGAAUCAGGUCGGUGCAGGUUAGUGACAGGCAGCGCUUGAGGUCUGCGGACCAAUAUAGCAGGUACCAGAUUGGGUAUAUUUGGACUUCUUGUCCGGUUGAUGCAUAUAACUAUAGUAGCGGUUGUUGCUUGUAUACCUUCAGUUCUUUCAUUACAUUGUCUUGCUACUAUAGUCUUGUUACAUUUAUAUAUUCAGUUGUCCAUUACAGUAGCGGUAGUUGUACUUCUUUCAUAUAUAUGUCUCAUUCAUUCAUUAUUAUUACUACUGUAUUUCUACUGACCCGUACUGUUGUUUAGCUCUUCCUGAUCCGGUGAGUACUCCUCGCCUUCAUCGGCUUGCGGUACCCACUGGGAGGGGAGACAUGUUUACAUGUUCUCACCUCCCCCACCAUUUUUCAGGUAUUGCGGGCGGUGAGAGUCGAGACGAUAUGUGAGACACGUUCGUAGCGGUCGAUAGAGCUUCCGACCCAGGUUAUUCGGUUUAGU